CACUAAUUCCGUGUAACUUGGGUGAGCUAUUUAAUCUCUAACCUUACUUCUCUUACCUGAAAAAUGGGAAUAGUAUUUUUUGUCUUGUCUUAGCUCAGAGUUGUCGUGGAGAUCAAAUGAGAUAAUAUAUGUGAAAGUGCUUUGAUGCUGCUAAAGCAUGCUGUAGAUGAAGACUAUUAUCCUCUAAUACAGCUUCAAUCAACAGAUAAGCUCUCUUUUCAUUGCUCACCUAGGACCUAAUCUGCCAUCCAUACUCUGAAAAAAUUCCCUCCAGACUGCAAACUCGGGCCGCGUGAGGACUUGUCGAAUGUGUGUUCAACUGGAGGAUAGACACCUGAGAAAUAUUAUUAUAUUCAGCUUUCACAUUAUGGUUAUCACGCCCAACACAGCUAGCCCUAUUAAAAAAUAUGCAUUACAUGCUCGAUGUCCGAAGAGAUCAUAAUCCAAGUAAGUCAUUUCGUACUACUCGCACACAUACUCUUCGGUCCCCCCAGCCCCACAAAUGACCUUCCUGUUCUGUUUCUGGAUGGGGAAGAAAUCCAGAAAGGAAGUGUGCUCACCGGCUCCCGCAUCAGCAAAUUUCGGAUCUACGUGCACUCAGACAUCAGAGCAGUAUCUGGAUGGCAACAUUAAAUGCCUUGCUGUUUAAAACGUCUUUGUGAACUCAGAUUAUUGAACAUUAUAUCCAAUUUUGAGGACGAUUUUGUUCACAUGAGAUCAGUUUUUCCAAGUUUAGAAAUGCAGCAUUCUUAGUUUAAAUAUUGCACGGUGAUGGUUUUCAAUGAUUAGAAACACAUUCAUACUAUAGCACGUCUGGGCCCAAGAAUACCUCAUUUAUAGCCCAUUUUUCUCUAGCAACAAUCUAAGUAUUUCUAGGUUGUAUUACAUUUCUCAUUCUCAUGCGCUCUCGGUCAAUAGACUGUCAUUAUCAGAAUAAAGUUCUUUACAUUUAACUGAA